rnacentral:rRNA from 1 species
CACGUAGGGCGCGAGCGUUGUCCGGAAUUAUUGGGCGUAAAGAGCUCGUAGGCGGCCUGUUGCGUCCGCUGUGAAAGCCCGGAGCUCAACUCCGGGUCUGCAGUCGAUACGGGCAGACUUGAGUGUUGCAGGGGAGACUGGAAUUCCUGGUGUAGCGGUGAAAUGCGCAGAUAUCAGGAGGAACACCGGUGGGCGAAGGCGGGUCUCUGGGCAACAACUGACGCUGGAGGAGCGAAAGCCGUGGGGGAGCGAACAGG